ensembl:lncRNA
GGCAGAGAGAGAGGGUGUGUGUGGGGCAGAGGGAGAGGGUGUGUGUGGGCAGAGAGAGAGGGUGUGUGUGUGUGUGGGGCAGAGAGAGAGGGUGUGUGUGUGUGGGGCAGAGGGAGAGGGUGUGUGUGUGUGGGGAGAGAGAGAGGGUGUGUGUGUGUGGGGGGCAGAGGGAGAGGGUGUGUGUGGGGCAGAGGGAGAGGGUGUGUGUGUGUGGGGCAGAGGGAGAGGGUGUGUGUGUGUGGGGCAGAGGGAGAGGGUGUGUGUGUGGCAGAGAGAGAGGGUGUGUGUGUGUGUGUGUGUGUGUGUAGGAGAGGGUGUGUGUGGGGGGGGGCAGAGGGAGAGGGUGUGUGUGUGUGUGGGGGGCAGAGAGAGAGGGUGUGUGUGUGUGUGGGGCAGAGGGAGAGGGUGUGUGUGUGUGUGUGGGGGGCAGAGGGAGAGGGUGUGUGUGUGUGUGGGGGGGGCAGAGGGAGAGGGUGUCCAGUGUUUUUUCCAGUAGCUGAUGCUUGUAUGUGGGCAGUG